UUUUUUUUUUAAUGCAUAGGCAGCUGGGGCGUUGUUAUAUAGGUCAAGUAUGACUUGUUAGGACUGUUAGCUGAUCUUCUUAUGUCCCACCAGACAGAUGCAACAGUAAUGCCACGGUCCUUUAGGAAAUUUGUGCUGGGUUUGCCAAAGCCAUCAGUGAAACUCUUGAAUGAUGAAGCACUCCUGAGUGCCAAAGUUGUCAGAUGGUAGUGCCAAUUUGUGGGUGCCCUGUUGGCAUGGCUUCUUCCUGUUUGAAAUCCUGAGUGACAGCAUGAGUCCAGCUUAUUACAUAGUCAUUGCUUCCUCUUAAGUCCUGACUGAUCCAGUACCCUGGCAUAAGGAUCCAUGAGGUACCCACAGUUCAAAUUUUCUUGAGUUUUGUUUUUUUGUUUGUUUUUUGUUUUUCAAGACAGCAUUUCUCUGUGUAGCCCUGGCUGUCCUGGAACUCAAACUCGAACCAAGCUGGCAUCGAACUCACAGAGAUCCACCUGCAUCUGCCUUCUGAGUGCAGGAAUUAAAGCUGUGCAUCACCACCAUUUGGCUCUGAAUCUCCUUUUAGAGUUGUGAAAAUAGCAGGAAAUGACCGGCAUCACAGCACUUAAUGAUGGUGACAUUGACUUUUUUAAGUCUUCUGAUUCCAGACUUAUGUUCCUUUGCCAGUAUACUACCUACACAUUGAUAGGCUUAGUUGAUGCACUGUGGUUAAGGUCAGGUGUAGGAUAAUUCUGGGCAAGGAAACAAGUAUUCAAAAUGGCAGUUGCACUUACGGGAGGAGGUCCUCUUGUCCCCUCUUAUGUGACUAUAGCUGAACUGCCACUUAUGACAAAUCUUGGGCCAUCCUGGUCCUGUUACUCAUGUUUGAUCUUUUGUUUUUGUAGCCAAGGCUGUCCUUAAAUUCCUGAUCCUCCUGCCUCCAUUUCCCAAGUGUUGGAAUUUACAGGACUGUGCCAUUGUACUUGACCUCAUUUUGUUUGAUCUUAACUUGGAAACAAUCCCUGGGGAUAGUUGGAAGAUUUGAGUUUCUCUGGGAUGUCACUGUCCAGUUUUGAAAUAAUUUUGUAAAUGGGUUUCUUCCAGGAAGGAUCUGAGUCUUUCCCUUCGGAGACAGCCCUGAAGAACUCCUGUAAUGUCAAGGUGGCAAUUUCCAAGAAGCAGUCUGGGACCUGCAACUCCAAAAACAACCCAAAGAAAAGGAAGAAAUGAGUCUGGAAGUGCUGGCACCACAGAGAGCCCACUGAUGGCUGCUGCCUGCUGCUGGCUCAGAGGAUGCCUACUCCACUGGCCCACAGUUUGCAGCCCAGGACUGCUCUGGUCCCUUGUGAAGCACAGACCUUAAGUGACCAACCAGUAGCUGGUUCCACAACUGGAUAUGUUUUAGUGACUAAGUAGGAAAUGAAUUAUAGGGAAGAAAUGAGAGAUUUAGCUUUCUUUUCCCUAGACCUGGUAUGAGAAAGAGUGUCCUCAAGCUUAUGACUGCCAUACCUGUAGAGCUCAAAUCCUAAAGGCUUAAAUCCUUGCUUCCAAAGCCAUCUGAAGGGGCUGGUCCAGAAACUUCACUCAAACUGGCCCCAUAGGUGAUGGCAUGGCCCACAGGCCUUCCAGGUGCAGCCUGGGUGGGGAAUCGCUGCCACUGCCUACCAAAUGGCCAUCCCCACAUGGAAGGUAGAGAGGUGCUACUGCCCUCACACUGGCUUUAACCCCUUCCUCCCCACAGAAAGGCUUCAGUUUCCAAGCAUGCUCUGGCUGUGGAGGCCAGCAGCCUUUACUCUCUUGGAGGAAUCAAGUGAGAAAAGAAGAAAGAAAUGAACCCUGUGACGACACACACUGGACACCUGAAGAGGAAGAUGGCAGCCACCUAAGAGCCUAGCUGCCACUUGACACUCAGGCUCUGAGGCACCAGCAUACACCUUCAUGGAGGCUCCAAGAGUCUGGAUUCUUCAGCCUUGAUGCACCAGAAAGAAUUUGAAUCUACCACACAGAUAGAACUAAACAGGUAAAAAAAAAAAAAAAAUGAAGGCCGAGUGUUAGGAAGAGCAGAAAUUGUCAGAAAAAUAGAUCCUGUGAUGGAGUCCAGCAUUUGGUGCUGAGUCACCAGCACGGAGGUAAAAAGGCCAACAGUCUCUAUAACAGAGACUUGUGCAGAGUAGGAUGUCUCAGCGGUGAAAUACUGGCAAACCAGGGUAUGAUCAGGCUGGCUGUAUUUGCUUUGUCCACCUGUUGCCUGGAGAAGAUUUGGAGGCUGUAAUCUUUGUUGGUGAUACAGAGGUUGGCCUCCCCAGAGGAGUUGUUUUUAGAGAACCAGCCAUUCUGAGGAAACACAUCUCAGUUCUCAUGGGACCCGGCACAUUGACUUACCUCAAAGUCAUUUCCCUUGUUAUAGUGUGUAUUGAGAACUCGAAAAAGCUCUGAGUCACGGAGAACUGCCAGCAUUUGGGGGUUUGUGACACCAUCUGAAAUUGCUUGCCGGGCAUACUUUUCCAUUUGGAUGUAAUAAAAUUCACGGAAGUUGCUGAACCACUUGAUCAUCUGGGAGGUGAUGCAACGGUUGAACUGUGAACAGAGGGCUUGUCAGGUCAGACAUUUCCAUGGAUACUCACCGUCAUAGCUGUCAGUGUCACUUCAACAUGAGAUUAAUGUGAAUUGACCUAACCACUAACCAGUUUUCCUUCAGAAGUGAAGCCACAGGCAUUCUCAGAACAGGAAAUUGAACCAGUUCCAUCAGUAACAUGAAGGGCACAUGAAGACCUACGACUUGCCUCCCCCUGGGCAACACACACAGCAACUGGAGAGUCUGCAGAGGCUGAAACACAAUGUGUGGCUUUACCUGAACAUCAGGGAAAUACGCCUUCAGGAGGCUGGAGCUGGGGUAACGCGUGAAGAAGAACAUGAGUUUGGCCUUCUUCAAGUGUCCAGGGCUCAGGCCUUCCUGGAUGUAUUUUGGUGUCAAGGGAAAAGAGCAUUUUCAAAACACCAGCUUCGGAAAAAAACAAAAAACAGCUUGCUUUCUGUGCUCACAGCACUUCCACAAAUAUGGGGAACAUUUCUAAAGUUCACCAGACUUUCUGCAAGAUGGGCAAGCACCAACUCUACCCAGGGAAAGCAGCCUUUCUGACAGGAAGCAGUGUUUGGGGGCAGGGGCAGCGUAAGUCCUCCCACUGAAACUAUCAAGAAGAUUGAGACCUGAGUCCUCAACCUAACUGCGGAGCUAAGCCAGUCUGGCCAGUAAGACAUGGGAGCAACUUGAACACGGAGACAUGGGGGCGAGUGUUCAAGUCUAAGCCAAUUUUGUUAUUAAGACAAUAAAAUCAUACAGUUAUUUUUAAAGUUGUGGUGAGACACACCUGUAACCCCAGUAACUGGGAGGGUGAGGUAGGAGGAUCAGAAGUUCAAGGCCAUCCAGCCUUGGAAUUCAUGAGACCCUGUCUCUAAAACAAUAGCAAUGAUGAUAAUAAAGAACCAGUUUAUCAAAUAAUUUUACCGGA